AUGGGCUUUUACGUUGCUUCCAAGCCAAUCAUUCCAUGAUUUUCUGAAAUGUGAUGUUCCCCUUGCUGAGAAAGGCACUGUGAAAUCUGGGUGUUUUUGCAUGCACCACCAUUGGAGAGCAGCCAACAUGCCAUAGGAUGGUCCAAUGGACUGCGGAGAACCUGAACAAUGCUUUCUGCUUUUAACCUGAUGCCUGAUAAGAAGAUUGAUCUGCCUACAUACAGAUAUUUACAGUUUAGAUGGAGGAAUAUGGGUUGGUUACCUUCUGUGCCUCUUGUACUCAGUGGAUAGUGUACCUUUGCAGCCAGUGGAGCUGGGAGCACAAUUCCUCUUUUCCCAGACACUACUGGCCACCAUGCAUUGAUCUUUACCAGCUCUAUCUGAUUGAUAGAGACUUCAAGCAUCAAACUUCACACACCCUCUCAGCAGGAAUGCCUCUACAGAACUUCCAUCCAUCACAAGGAAGUCAACUCUUGCGAGCUCACAGGUCAUCUGAGAUGAGAUCAUCUGAGCUAAUCUGGUACAGUCAGGUUCUAUCGUGGCAGAAUUGAACAGGGUGAUAUCCAUGAAGAAUCAGCUGAAGUAGGCAAAGGAUAGGCUAUGUGACAUAAGGGAAGGAGGGGUGAAUUUACUCUGGAUAUGCUUGCAUGAAUGGAAUCAUUUGGUCACAGACAGAAACAAAAAGUGGAGUAGGUGCUAGGGCUCACUUUCUGCUGGUGUUACAAAAACUGGCAUUGUGGGUGCUCCUCAGCUGGCACCAGACCAAAUCAGGAGGAGAAUGACCACCACGAAGCCCUAAGGAACCUGGCAGAUAUUUGUACUGAUGUUUGGCCCAGGUAGUUGUAAGCAAGAAGAGUGGGUGAUUGGAAGCAAUACGACUGGAGAUGGGAGAUCCAUGAAACUACUUUCGGACUACCGCCCAUUGAACCCUACAAUAGACCUCCCUGGCUCCUUGGUCUUCCUGUCUGACCUUGCAUUACACUUCCUGCCAGUUGGGUAGUGAGAAAUCUCAGACUUGAAACCUCACAGCCAGCCUCCGCCAGACCCUUAAAGAGCUGCUAAUGUGAGUCGUAAAGCCGCAGUAGCCUAGGAUGUAGCAGCGUUUUGACAGCUGUUCCCACAGAGGAAGUGGGUGAAGCUAGAAUGCAUAUUGUAAGAAUAUGGGAUUAAAAAUAAAAAAUAGAGUAUCAAAUGAGAAACUACACCUCCAGAAAAAUAAAGUGUGUUUCCUUUCCCCUUCUCUCCCGUUACUUUCCUUAGGGCCAUUGCUAGGUCUUCACAAGAAGGUGGUUUCAGCAUCCGUGGAUAUGCU
rnacentral:lncRNA from 1 species